AGGAGGGUAGCCGGUCACAGCAGCUUACGAGUCCUUUUCUGGACUCAGCUAGAUUUGCUCACCUUGUAGUUCGUACCCUACUCCAUAACCACACACUAUACUAGAGCACCAAAUAUUUAGAAAGCCACGGCUAACCUGUUCAUGGGGCUCAUGGUUUUCUAGGUCACGGCCAUCCAUUGGAAUCCCAGGAGUGAUGCUGAAUCGACCUGAAAUGUGGGCUCCUGCUGCCUGGGUAGUGAGCAGUGAGUGCCAAGCAUUUCAAGUACAGAAGAAGGAGAAGAAGAAGAAGAAGAAGAAGAGAGGGGAGAUGGGGCUGCUGUUGCCCUUUUGUACUUCUCACAUGCUCUUGUUACUGAUGACUGCUCAGGUUUUGCAGUCUUGUCAUUGAGGACAUUUGAGACCAAACCUUAAAGCUCU